UUUAUUUUCCUCUUUCCCUUUCUUUUUCCAGCUCAGAAGCUGAAACAUGGAGUGAAGAUCAGACACCACUUUCCUAUCCAGCAAAGUCUGCGUUGAACCCUGUGAUCCCUUCCUUCCAAUCAGAAAAGAGUUACCUUGGCAACCAAAUUACUAACUCACUCAAUUAGCUCCCCCCUCUUUCACCAAUGCUCAGUAAUCACAGAACGUCAGCCCCGGGAGAGCUCAGGGUUUGGCAGUCUGGUGCUACUGCCUCAUUUAGAGAUGGAAGCCCAGAGAGGUUUCCACUUGAAGGUGCACUCCAUUUGAACACUGUACAAGCUGGUGCAGGCAAAGGAGAAAAACUCUCCCAUGCAUUGUUUUCAUCCAUAACUGGAGGGAGAGCAAAUGACCUGCCCAUAACAAUAUUUCCCAAAAGAUAUAGAUGAGCCUGGGUUCUACAAGCAGCCCUCUAUUACUAGCUGUGCGAUUCAGUUUAUUCAUAAACUCAAUAUAAGUAAACUCAUCUGCAAAAUGGGACAAAGCAUAGAACCUUAGAAUUGUGUGAAGAUUUAAUUAUAUAUUGUAUUGGAAACAAAGAGCAAAUAAUAAAACAUCAAUCCUAGAAGGUAUUGAAUUAAGGCCAUUACUUGAAGUCUUUAAGUCUUGUGGAAAAACUGUACCUCUUGUUGGGAAUAUUGCUCAGUGGCAGAGCACUUGCCUAGCAUAUGCGAAGCUCU
rnacentral:lncRNA from 1 species